rnacentral:sRNA from 1 species
AGCCUAAACCAGUGAGUAAUCACUGGCAUGGUGAAGAAGUCUGAUUAGAGCCAAAGAACCCAUCAUAUAGGGUUUGCUCUAAUCAGCCAUAUCGGGAAACUGGUAUGGAGGGUUAAAACCCUC